AUUCAAAACAUCUGGGGCUGCACGGUGGCUCAUGCCUGUAAUCCCAGCAGUUUGGGAGGUCAACAUGGGUGAAUCACUUGAGGUCAGAAGUUUGGGACCAGCCCAGCCAAUGUGGCCCUGAUCAGGAAGUGAAGACAACAUGACUGUGGAGAAGAGAGCCGGGAAGGGAAGAAGCUCAAUAAUGAGUGCAUUCUAGGCCAGCUUCCCCAGAGCAUCAAGGUUGAUGGAAGAACAUGAGGGGAAGUGGCAUGAGAGCAAGCCCGUGCUCUCCUCUACAGAGACAGAAGCCAGACAUGCCUUUUCCAUGUGCUGAUCUCCAAGUCCCAGCUAGUAGGUCACAUGACAUCACAGUCCUGCUCUUCCUCAAUGAUGCAAAGGAUCCAGUGGAGGUCUCUGAGGCCCUGGGAGAUGGUAGAGCCACACCAUGAAGGUGCCUGGGUCCCUGAAUGACUGCAUGGAGCUCACUCUACAUUGGACUGUGACACAAGCAAGAAAGGUAGACACUUAGGAGUGGAAUUGCUGAGUCAUACAGUAAUUCUAUGUUUAACAUUUUGAGGAGCUGCCAAACUGUUUCCAAAAUGGCUGCAACAUUCUAUAUUUCCAUCAGCAAGAAGGGCCCAUGUGGCAAGGAACUAAGGGCAGUCUCUGGCCAAAAGCCCACAAGUAACUGAAUUCUGCCAAUAACCAUGAGUUUGGAAGUGGAUCCUUCCCCAUUCGAGUCUCAGAUGAGUCCCCAGCCCUGGCCAACAUCUUCAUGUGCUGUGAGAGACCAUUAAGCAGAGGACCCAGCUAAGCUCUGCCCAGAUGCUCAAUCCACAGAAAAAGAUACUAAGUGUGUGUUGUUUUAAGCUGCUACAUUUGCAGUGGUUUGAUAUGCAGCAAUAGAUAACUGAUACUGCUGUUAAUUGCUUUCUAUUACAAUCAGCUGGAAUAACUGCCCUUGUGCCUACAAUCAGAGAUGUAUUUUGGGAUCAAUUCCCAGACCUGAGAUUGUUCAGUCUAAGGGUAAGGAUAUUUAAUGUGGAAAAAUAACACUAAAUUGUCCUCCAAAAAUAUUAUCAAGUGACAAUCAUGCAAACAGUAUGAAAGUUCCUACUUCUCUCCAUGUUCUUGCCAAAUGAAGUGUCAUUGAUCAUUGAAAAAAUAUCAGUUUGAGAAAAAUCAGUACUGCAUUGCUUUGAUUGCAUUUUCCUGAUCACUUAUCAGGGUGAGCAUCUUUUUAACGAAUCCCUUGGCCAUUUAUUUUCCUCUUUCUUUUGAGACUUCUCUCUUGAUAUUUUUAGCUUUUAUCCUAUUUUAAUUGGAUUUCAAUUGGAUUGAACAACUAGAAUGAUAGAAUGAUAUCUGGGGGGCACACAAUGGCCAUUGGUGAUGCUGCUGUUGAUUACCCAAAGUGCUAUCCCAUUUCUUCCUGUGUAUUUACUACUAUUUCUCUUGCAGUUAAUAAGCAAUUUAUGGGAAGAUUCUUUGAGACCAUUCAAAUAUCCUGCACCUCAUUAAAAUAUCCCCCUGGAUUUAGCAGCCUUUGAUGAUUCUUGCCUGAACAAAACUUUAUUAUGGUAGAUGUAAAAUGAAGAUUUUCAUUUCUAGCACUUCUUCCACAUUUACCAGCUACAUUCAGCCUUCUUGUGGAUAAGACUCUCCCCUUUCUCCCAAAUGUUUAUUGUUUUUAUUAGUAUGGACUCACGAUUUCCUGUUCUUCUCAAUGGCCUAUAAUUUAUUACUAUCUUUAAUUAUAUUAGUGCUCAAAUUUUCCCAGUUUGGCCAGUGGGAUCCCCUCCAAGUUGGCUAUUAUUUCCUUGUGACAUACCCACUUUUUCUUUCUUUCUCUUUCUUUUUCUUUCCUUUUAAAACUCACUUCUUUACUUCCUGCUCCAGCCCUGGAAUCAGCCAUUUCUCUGAAAAACUGUGGUUCUUUCAAGUGGACAAAGGUAUUAGAGACCAAAAUUUGGGCACAAGAUAUGCACUUUAACAAGGACCCACUUUAAGUGCAGUUUAGUGAAUUUGAAUGAAUGCAUGAACUUCUGUAACUACUACCACAAUCAAGAUAUAGAGUUUCUGUCACCUCUCAAAGCCUCCUUUUCUUGCUUGCUCAUAUGCAAUUACCUCUGUCCAAAAUGACCCUUUCCCUUUCCUCUACACACUUGGCAAAGCCAUGAUUGAACAUUUAUUCCUUCUUAGAUUUUGUUCCAUUUUCCUCAGCAAAGGUUCUUUGUUUCCUCUUCUUCAUGCUCACAAAAGAGAGAGUAAAAGUGCUUGCUCAACAGUUCUUCAACUGCUCUAAUAAAGAUUGAUUCUCUUACCA
rnacentral:lncRNA from 1 species